CUCUAUGUUCUUUUUUUCUUGUAUGUGCUAAACAUUAAUUUGACAAGUUUGAAGGAAGAUCAAACACUAUUGUUAAAGAAAAUUUAGACAAAAUAAAAAUGAGUGAUAACAUUGUAUGAAUAUCUAAGUUGUACUUCUAACCUAUGUUAUGUUGCUCGGACUCUCUAAAAUUGUUGCUGCAUCCAUGUCGGAUUCUCCCAAAAUAUACUACUUUUGGAGAAUCCGACAUGCACCUGUCAGCAUUUUUGACGAGUCCGAGUAACAUAGCUUCCAAAAAUGUUUCUUUUGGUAAUUGGAUUUAAUGAAAUGUAGAUUGGAGGAAGGAAGAACAAGAGGAUAGUAACUGAGGCAAAGUUGAAAGUGGCUAUCAAUGGAUUUGGAAGAAUUGGAAGGAACUUCUUGAGGUGUUGGCAUGGUAGAAAAGACUCACCUCUUGAUGUCAUUGCCAUCAAUGACACUGGUGGUGUCAAGCAAGCUUCUCACCUUCUCAAAUAUGACUCCACCCUUGGCAUCUUUGAUGCUGACGUCAAGCCGGUUGGCACUGAUGGAAUCUCUGUCGAUGGAAAAAUCAUCCAAGUCGUCUCCAACCGUGACCCUGUGAACCUCCCAUGGGGGUAAGUUCUAUCAUA
rnacentral:lncRNA from 1 species